UAAAGGCUUGGUCUUGGCCUUAUUAUCGGUUUUAGGUGGAACUAUACAUGCAAGUAUCCGCAAACCGGUGAAAAUGCCCCCCAAAACUCAUCCUGAGAAAAAAGGAGCAGGCAUCAGGCUUUAAAGCCCACGACGCCUUGCUUAGCCACACCCCUAAGGGUAUACAGCAGUAAUAAACAUUAAGCUAUAAGUGCAAACUUGACUUAGUCACACCUAAAAGGGCCGGCAAAAUUCGUGCCAGCCGCCGCGGUUAUACGCAAGGCCCAAAUUGAUAAAAACGGCGUAAAGGGUGGUUAAGCAAAUAAUAAGAUAAGGUAGAACAACCAUUGAGCUGUUUAAAGCUAUGUGGUAAAGAACCCCAUAAACGAAAGUUGCCUUAAAAUGUUGAAUCCACGAAAGCUAGGAAACAAACUGGGAUUAGAUACCCCACUAUGCCUAGCCGUAAACCCUGGUAGACUAUAACAAUCUGCCCGCCCGAGUACUACGAGUAAGUAACUUGAAACUCAAAAGACCUGGCGGUACUUUAUAAUUUCUAGAGGAGCCUGUUCUAUAACCGAUAAUCCCCGUCUAACCUCACCCUCUCUUGCCUUCUCCGCCUAUAUACCGCCGUCGUCAGCCUACCCUGUGAAGGGUAACUAGUAGGCACCACCAGCGAUACCUCCAAACGUCAGGUCGACGUGUAGCGUAUGAGAGGGGAAGAAAUGGGCUACAUUUCCUAAUUUAGUAAACACGGAAGAAGUAGUGAAACCUACUUCCGAAGGUGGAUUUAGUAGUAAGAGGGGAAUAGAGUGCCCCCCUGAAAAUUUAAUAAAGUGCGUACACACCGCCCGUCACCCUCCCCGCCCAAUUAAAUUUAACAGAUCCCUAAAACAUCUUUAUUACCUCAGGGGAGGUAAGUCGUAACAUGGUAAGAGUACCGGAAGGUGCUCUUGGAAAAUC
rnacentral:ncRNA from 1 species